rnacentral:rRNA from 1 species
GUCAUCUUUAUAUCUCCACCUGUGCACCUUUUGUAGACCUGGACAAGUUUCUUGAUGCCUAGCAUUAAGGUUUUGGGAUUGACUUUUGUCUUUCCUUAUAUUUCCGGGUCUAUGUUUAUUCAUAUACCCUAAUGUAUGUUAUAGAAUGUAAUAAGUGGGCCUUUGUGCCUAUAACACUAUACAACUUUCAGCAACGGAUCUCUUGGCUCUCGCAUCGAUGAAGAACGCAGCGAAAUGCGAUAAGUAAUGUGAAUUGCAGAAUUCAGUGAAUCAUCGAAUCUUUGAACGCACCUUGCGCUCCUUGGUAUUCCGAGGAGCAUGCCUGUUUGAGUGUCAUUAAUAUAUCAACCUCUUCAGCUUUUGCUUGUUGAGUGUUGGAUGUGGGGGGCUUUUUUGCUGGUCUUUUAAAGAGGUCAGCUCCCCUAAAAUGUAUUAGCGGAACAAUUUGUUGACCGUUCAUUGGUGUGAUAAUUAUCUACGCUAUUGACGUGAGGCAGUUCAGCUUCUAACAGUCCAUUGGCUUGGACACUUUUUUCAUUAAUGUGACCUCAAAUCAGGUAGGACUACCCGCUGAACUUAAGCAUAUCAAUAAGCCGGA